AUUUUAAAAGUGUUCAUACUUGUUCUCAGUAAUUGUUAAAAAGGAAAUGUUACUAUGAAAUUGGUUUUAAAAUGUGUUAAAAUAUACGAAAACAACAGUAUAGGAAAACUUAAUAGUUAAAAAUAUUUUUGUGUUCAUAUUUAAAGCUGUUAACCAGUUGCCAGUAACUUUUGUCAAUCCAGAAAUCAGACAAGUGAUAGGAUUACAUUUUUGUACAUUUUAAUAAUCGCAAAAACCAGAGUCUUAGACAAACAGAAAGAUGGGGAAAUAUCUGUACUUGCAACUGUUCAGCUCCUGCUGUUCACCUGUGCUCACAAAGUCCAAUUUCUUUAUUUUCCAACAUCUUUGUUAAAUGAUUUCUUUCAUUGUGGUCUUAAAGUACUCGUGUUUUGGAAUACUUCGGUGUUCACUCAAAGCUCCACCAGAUGACAUAAACUAUCUCUACAAAUCAUCUUGUAGUUUAAUUACAGUUCUUGGUGUCUACAAUAUUUCUUUUUAUCAAAAUGAAAUAGCAUAUCAUUGUUAUAAGCACGUAAUAUUUCAAAUGCUGACAGUUAAUGUAAUGACAUCACAAUAUUCUUUAUAGAUAUAACACUAAAUGGACUAAAUUGUUGAUACAAUGAUGUCAGGAUUAAGGUUGACAGUUGUGCAGUUGUAUAAUGCUAAUUCUUUAAAAAAAAUUGGUAAGGGUGUUAAAUCAGUCUGAAAUUCCAUUCAGACAUAGUGUUCUGUUGUAACUUAUAUUCAAAUGUAUGUACAUUUACAUUUGUAAGCUAUAUACAUGUAUUGCAAUAAAUUCUGUCAAAUUUGUUUUUUUUUUUUAUUGUAUUUGUAGAAAAGAGCUCAAGUUGUAUUUUCGUGUUAUAUGUGUAUUAUUAUUUUGUAAAUAUAUAUUGCAAUAAAUUCUGUCAAGUUUGAAA